UGGUCCAAAGGAUCGCUCAGGGAGUUUGCGUGUUCGCUCAGACACAUGAAAAAUUAGAGGGAACAUUGGUUAUAAGUGGAGAUCAAGAGUGAUUACUGUGUAUAGGUCUAUACAUUGUUAAGGAAAAUCCUGAGCACUGGCCCUAAGAUGUGACUAAUGUCUGCUGUAAGUCUUUGAACUUGAAUAGAAACUAGCAGAGGGAGUUUGCUACUAAGUCAAGGGAGUGUCUGCCCUGUCACCCUGAGUGUAAGGUCCAGGAGGAGAAGGAGACGUGCACAGGCCCGGGAGCAAAUAAAUGUCUAGUUUGUGCCAGCCUGAAAGAUGGCCCACACUGUGUCUCCAUGUGUCCUGAGGGUGUUAUGGGGCAGGAGGGAACCAUCUUUAAAUAUCCAGACAAGGAGGGCAACUGUAAACCUUGCCACAACAACUGUACCCAGAGUUUGCAGAAAUUCACAAACCACCAACAUUCCAAACAGCAGACGGGAUUGCGGCGUCGCCACUGAUACCAGCAGAAUCCGCAGACUCCUGUCAAUGAAACGAUUCCUUUGUGCCACACAUGGGUACUGCUGCCACUCAUAUACCAGUCACAGUGCAACAUGCUGUGCAUCCGCCCUACCAACUUAUCAGCACAUAUCCAGCAUCUGUUGUAACCAUGAGUUAGAUCCUUUGGUUUUUGUGGCCUUAUAUUCCGAUUGAUUUCCUCUCACAGAGUUUGGUUUCAUACUUACCAGUAAAGAAUGAUUUAUUCCUUAUUGCCCUCUAACGGCAGGUUUCGCACCACAGCUCACUAUGGUAAGGCAAAGAUUUCGUCGUAUAAUGUGUUCUUUUGAUUUUUGCCCGUAUACUUGAUUCAUAUUUGGUGGUAGAUUUCUUCAGUUCUCUUUGGGGUUUAAAUGAACUUUGAUGUAGACUGUGUCUGUGAAACAAUCAGUGCAGAGAAAUAAAAGAUUCUGAUGAUUCAUUCUGUACCGUUAUAGUUACACAAGUAGAUUUAAAAAAAUGUUGAAGACCAUGUUUCAAUGCUGAAUGCAUGGAGACAUCUGUAUGUGAUGUAAGAAACCAAAAUCCUGCUGUAUUACGAAUAAACCCAUUUUCUGAAU